rnacentral:rRNA from 1 species
GACGAACGCUGGCGGCGUGCCUAAUACAUGCAAGUAGAACGCUGAAGAGAGGAGCUUGCUCUUCUUGGAUGAGUUGCGAACGGGUGAGUAACGCGUAGGUAACCUGCCUUGUAGCGGGGGAUAACUAUUGGAAACGAUAGCUAAUACCGCGUAACAAUGGAUGACCCAUGUCAUUUAUUUGAAAGGGGCAAAUGCUCCACUACAAGAUGGACCUGCGUUGUAUUAGCUAGUAGGUGAGGUAACGGCUCACCUAGGCGACGAUACAUAGCCGACCUGAGAGGGUGAUCGGCCACACUGGGACUGAGACACGGCCCAGACUCCUACGGGAGGCAGCAGUAGGGAAUCUUCGGCAAUGGGGGCAACCCUGACCGAGCAACGCCGCGUGAGUGAAGAAGGUUUUCGGAUCGUAAAGCUCUGUUGUAAGUCAAGAACGAGUGUGAGAGUGGAAAGUUCACACUGUGACGGUAGCUUACCAGAAAGGGACGGCUAACUACGUG